CGAACGCUGGCGGCGUGCCUAACACAUGCAAGUCGAACGGAGAUAUCAACGAAGCUUGCGAUUUGAUAUUUUAGUGGCGGACGGGUGAGUAACGCGUGGGUGAUCUGCCCAUAAGUGGGGAACAACAGUUGGAAACGACUGCUAAUACCGCAUACGCUACCGCAAGGUAGGAAAGGUGGCCUCUGAAUAUGCUGCCGCUUAUGGAUGAGCCCGCGUCUGAUUAGCUAGUUGGUGGGGUAAAGGCCUACCAAGGCGACGAUCAGUAGCCGGCCUGAGAGGGUGAACGGCCACACUGGGACUGAGACACGGCCCAGACUCCUACGGGAGGCAGCAGUGGGGAAUAUUGCGCAAUGGGGGAAACCCUGACGCAGCGACGCCGCGUGAGCGAUGAAGGCCUUAGGGUUGUAAAGCUCUGUUUUAAGGGACGAAUGUUACGGGGAGUAAUAUGCCCUGUAAAUGACGGUACCUUAAGAGGAAGCCCCGGCUAACUACGUGCCAGCAGCCGCGGUAA
rnacentral:rRNA from 1 species